GCAUUCUUACAACAUAGCGUUAAUGCACCAUAUAUCAUUAGAACUUCGCAGUUAAGCUCACUCGAGCCAAAGUAGUACUGGGAUGGGUGACUGGGAUGGGUGACCGCCUGGGAAUUCCUAGUAUUUUACAUGCU
rfam:Picea glauca, whole genome shotgun sequence.